AAGUCGUAACAAGGUUUCCGUAGGUGAACCUGCGGAAGGAUCAUUAUCGAACCUUUUGGAAGUGGGACUGAUGCUGGUCCUCUCGGACACGUGCUCGUCUUGCUUUUCCUCCUUUCCACACCAUGUGAACUUCCAAGGUAGCGUGUCCCUCCCCUCAUGGGGGAGCCGCUGGAUGAUCCCCGCUUCGCUGCGGGUGAGCGUCGAGCUGGGGGUGCGCGACCUUGUUUCCAACAACACCAUAAAGAAGUUUGUAGAAAUCAUGAUAACUGCCCGAGUGGCAAAUUACAACUUUCAACAACGGAUCUCUUGGCUCUC
rnacentral:misc_RNA from 1 species